CCCUUCCUCCCACCCCUCCCUCCACCCUCACCUAAGCAUCGUGCCGCGUACACAUCUCAACAGUAUCACCUUAAUCUUGCAGUUACAACGUUCUCCCUCGCUCCGUUUCUGUUAGCGCGCGCGCCUCCGCUCUCUCUCUCCCUCGUGUUGCUCCCCCUCCUCAUUCGCCCCAGUUUGCCCUCUUUUCGCUUCCUCAAAAAGGACUCUCUGCGACUCUUUCCUACGGCCGCUCUCUCCGGUCGUUUUCGUUUGUGCGUCUUCUUUUUUUUUUGUUCUGUAUUUCUCCCUGGCAACUCCCCCCUCUCUAUCUCAUCUCCCUCUUCCUUAGGGGGCUGGGGCCGCUCACUUCUGUCCCUCCCCCAUUCCAUCCCUCUGACGCGCUCUCACUUCCCUCAACAACAGCGUCGGCUUCUGCUCACCUCCUACACUCACCUGCCGUCGCUGCUCCACACACAGCCAUCUACAAGGUCAUUUCUUUCGUCAACCCCACAGCCUCACACCUACACGCCGGAACAGCAUGUCCGCCGGUGGCCGUGAGACCGCGCCGACGAACCUGAUUCGUCGCCGCAACAAGGACGAGACAAACGGGGAUGUCAGCGCCGCCGCCGACCGCUUCCGCGACCGCUUCGAGAAGGCAACCCUCGAGGAGCGCAAGGCCGCCACCACGACGAUGGUCAACGAGUACUACGACCUGGUGACGGACUUCUACGAGUACGGCUGGGGCCAGAACUUCCAUUUCGCGCCGCGCUACGCCGGCGAGACCUUCUUCGAGUCCCUCGCGCGCCACGAGUACUUCCUGGCCGCUCGCGGCGGCUUCAUGGAGGGCGACCACAUCGUCGACGUGGGCUGCGGCGUCGGCGGUCCGGCGCGCAACAUGGUUCGCCUCACGCGCUGCAACGUCAUCGGCGUCAACAACAACGAUUACCAGAUCAGCCGCGCUCGCCGUCAUGACGCGCUCGCCGGUAUGAGCUCCAAGAUCGACUACGUCAAGACCGACUUCUGCAACAUGAGCUUAGCCGACAACACCUUCGACGGCGCCUACGCCAUCGAGGCCACCUGCCACGCAAAGGACAAGGUCAAGUGCUAUAGCGAGGUCUUCCGUGUCAUCAAGCCCGGCACCUGCUUUGUCCUGUACGAGUGGUGCAUGACCGACAAGUACAACCCCAAUGACGAGUACCACCGCACAAUCAAGCACCGCAUCGAGCUGGGCGACGGCCUGCCGGAGAUGGAGACGUGCAAACAGGUGAUCGAGUACAUGAAGCAGGCCGGCUUCGUGGUGGAGGAGGCCAUAGACGUCAUCAGUCAGUUCGAGUCCAGCCCCAUCAAGAGUAUCCCGUGGUACCAGCCGCUGGUCGGCGACUAUUCGUCCCUGCAGGGCCUGCGCUCUACCCCGAUUGGCCGCAUCCUCACGAACGUCAUGUGUCGCGUGCUGGAGUUCGUGCGCCUAGCUCCGAAGGGCACGUACAAGGCGACGGAGAUUUUGGAGGAGGCUGCGGAAAGCCUGGUGGUGGGCGGUCAGCUCGGCAUCUUCACGCCGUCCUUCUACAUCCGCGCUCGCAAGCCGUCCAAGCAGGCUUAGGUGUCGAGGUCGCAGAAGGACGACGAACGCGCUGGCUGCUGCCUUUACCUCCGCCAUGCCUGCCCGCCAGAUGUGUCGUCUUCCACUGGCUGCGUUUCCUUGGCCAUGUAUGCACAGGGCGCAGGUACGCACGCUUCUGCUGAAGUGUUUUGUUUUUCCGUGGUAUGUUGCCCACGCAGCUGUUUUUGUUUCAAGAGCCAUGGACUUUUUUCUUGCUUUGCAAAAGUUCGUUAGUUGGCGCGUGUCUCCACUCCUCCCCAGGCACUCUCCUGCGCGUGUGCGCGGAAAGGAUAAUAACGAAUAGUACAACUUUCGUAAACGGCAGUUCCCUUGACCACUCAUACGAACGUACACGUGCGAGGAAGGCCAAAAAGAUUAAGCAGAGGCCGGCAAGGAGUCCGCUCAGUGUGCCGGUAAGGUGGUCUUGCCUGGGGGUGUGUCCAGUAGUCCCGGAAACUGCGUGCCUGUCUCCCUAUUUGCCUCUGUCAACGUGCGCACCUCUGUUUGUCUGGGUGUGUUUUCGUUGUCUCUUGCAUUGCCUGUAUAGCCAUGUCGGGUACCAGUUUCUUUUAUCGGUUAGUGUUUUCCAGCGUGUAAGACGACGCCCCAGCCGGAGGUGGUGGUUCUUCAGUUCAGCACAGCAUUCGAUAGACAUACACAUGUUGGGCCAUUCACGUCCAACGACGAUAACCAAAAAAAGAAAACAAGACAUCUGUGCGAGAAGGGAGGGAUGGCACGCAACAACAACCAAAAGCGAUAAAGCGUAGAGAGGGCAAAAACGGGGUACGUGUAGAUGUGCGCGUGUGUGUGUAUGCUCAGCCUCCUGUUUUUCGUUUUGGCUUUGUGCGUUUUGUUGGGCGUUUCUUUUCUCCGCCUCUUCCCCCCCCCUGCUCUAGUUACUUGAUUGUUACGUUCCGAUUGUUAUGCUGUCUGUGCUUGUGUGUGUGUGUGUAUCUGCGUGUACAGACGCAUGAGCCGCAUGAAGGGCAACAUCACUAUCAUCGCCGCCCUCUCGACCUCACGCCGUUGGCAGCGUAGAUGCACAGCGAAGGCCCGAGCGCAUAGUCUUUACACAAAUACUUGCACAGACAUAGACGAAGAUGGUGCACCGAGAAAAUACAAUCACCAAUGAAAAAAGAAUGAAAGCGUCAGGGUCGGUGGCCCCCCACCCUUCUGUUCCUGUGUUGCUUUUCGCUUCUGUCUGUUCCAUAUUGUCCUGGUUAUUUUCUUUGACCUUGUGUGUUGGUGUGUGGCACUUUCGGUGUACCUCUUCCUCACUUCUGCCCUCUCCAGCAAACGCCUCCUUGCAUGUCGGCAGAGAGAAGGCGAAGCACCAUGUGCGUGUGCGUCUGUGGGCGCAUAUUAUGUGUGGCUGCACACGGAGAGGCGGGCAUACGCUGGCGGGCCCGGUACGGAGAAGGAUUGGCCACUCACCGAUUCGCCCCCCCUGCCCAUACCCUAACGUACGAGCAACUUACACAUUCAUGCACCAUAGUCGAAAAAGAUGCUUGUAGUAUUGCGUAAGAACGUUCUGAGAUGCGGUAAAGAAGCAAACGAUUUCAGAUGCAUACGCAUACAACUGUGCAUGCACGCCAAAACAAAAAGCAGCUCAUACAUAGGUAUGUACGCGCACACGUGUGUGUGUGUGUGUAUGCUUGUGUGCUUGCGUCGUGAUCAGAAAACAAAACAAAACCUUCGCAGCUGAAGACUGAAAAAACAAGAAGCACCACAGAGGGCUGAGAGCGGCUGCAUUCGGAAGCGCAUGUAGAGAGGCGCCCCUUGUUGACCGUCAACACGCAUGCGAGCUUAUGAGUGCGGGAGAAGCUCGGUCGGAAGAGGGGGUAGUGGAAAGAAGUCGAGGAAGUUUUGUCCGCUUAUGUGCGCGUCGGAUGGCUGUAGAGCCUCCCCUCGCCCUUGUCUCUCCCUCCCUAAUGAGCUACUACGCCCACCCCGCCCUGCCGCACCUCGCAGUGCGCUGCCCGGAGGGACGUAUCAAACAAGCGGUAAAAAGAAGCAACUUCAUGAGGCAGCAGAGGCGGCUGCUACGGACCUCCCUCUCUCAUCCUUCCCCGCCCGCCUCUUGCGCACGGGAGAGUUGCGCUGAAGGUGCAAUCCUCGAUGCCCGCCCAUGGGGUCACUCUCCUUUCAUGUAUCUCAUUUUGAGCCUCAUCUCUCCCGUGUGCUUCUUUCUGUCUCCUUUUGUUUUCCGUCCUCGAUGAUGUGGUCUCUGAUGCGUUUCUUUGCCUUUGGGGCGUGAGUACGCGUCCAACUUGAG
rnacentral:misc_RNA from 1 species